rnacentral:rRNA from 1 species
GUUGAACGCUGGCGGAAUGCUUUACACAUGCAAGUCGAACGGCAGCACGGGGCAACCUGGUGGCGAGUGGCGAACGGGUGAGUAAUACAUCGGAACGUGCCCAAUCGUGGGGGAUAACGUAGCGAAAGUUACGCUAAUACCGCAUACGAUCUACGGAUGAAAGCGGGGGAUCGCAAGACCUCGCGCGAAUGGAGCGGCCGAUGUCAGAUUAGGUAGUUGGUGGGGUAAAGGCUCACCAAGCCAACGAUCUGUAGCUGGUCUGAGAGGACGACCAGCCACACUGGAACUGAGACACGGUCCAGACUCCUACGGGAGGCAGCAGUGGGGAAUUUUGGACAAUGGGCGCAAGCCUGAUCCAGCCAUUCCGCGUGCAGGAUGAAGGCCUUCGGGUUGUAAACUGCUUUUCCGGGGACGAGCGAGGACGGUACCCUGGGAAUAAGUCUCGGCUAACUACGUGCCAGCAGCCGCGGUAAU